CGCGGGGUGGAGCAGCCAGGAAGCUCGUCGGGCUCAUAACCCGAAGGUCACAGGUUCGAAUCCUGUCCCCGCAACCA
rnacentral:tRNA from 1 species